rnacentral:rRNA from 1 species
GACGAAGGGCGCGGGUGUUACUCGUUAUGAUUGGGUGUAAAGGGUAUGUAGGUGGCCUGCAUUGGUUUCUGGGUUAAAGCGCGGAGUGUUCCUACGCGAGUGCCCGGUUGUUUGAAGGCAGGCUUGGUGUUGGGGAUGGGUUUAGUUAAUUUCGUACGGAGGGAUGGAUCUUAAGAUAUACGAACGAAUGCCAGUGAGCGGAGGCGCUCUUCUAGCCCCAACAGACGCUGAGGUACGGAAGCUGGG